GACGAACGCUGGCGGCGUGCUUAACACAUGCAAGUCGGACGAAGUGGCGAACGGGUGAGUAACGCGUAAUCAACCUGCCCUUCCGAGGGGGACAACAGCUGGGAACGACUGCUAAUACCGCAUACUGAAGGAGGGGAUUGCGUCUGAUUAGCUAGUUGGAGGGGUAACGGCCCACCAAGGCGAUGAUCAGUAGCCGGUCUGCGAUGAUGAAAGGCUUGAUUGCGACUGGGACACGGCCCAGACGCCCACGGGAGGCAGCAGUGGGGACUCUUUCGCAACGGACGGAAGUCUGACGUGGCAAUGUCGCGUGAAUGAUGACGGCCUUCGGGUUGUAAAGCUCUUUUAAUCGGGACGCGGUACCUGAAUAGAAAGCCACGGCUAACUACGUGCCAGCAGCCGCGGUAAUAC
rnacentral:rRNA from 1 species